rnacentral:SRP_RNA from 1 species
AUAUUUUUUGCCAUUACAAUAGUCGGCUUCGAACCAUGUCAGGACCGGAAGGUAGCAGCAUUAAGAAUAACCGUCUAUGUGUAGUGGCUUUUUUAUAAAAAG